rnacentral:rRNA from 1 species
UACCAGCACCCCGAGUGGUCGGGACGUUUAUUGGGCCUAAAGCAUCCGGUAGCCGGUUCUACAAGCCUUCCGUUAAAUCCACCUGCUUAACAGAUGGGCUGCGGAAGAUACUAUAGAGCUAGGAGGCGGGAGAGGCAAGCGGUACUCGAGUGGGUAGGGGUAAAAUCCGUUGAUCCAUUGAAGACCACCAGUGGCGAAGGCGGCUUGCCAGAACGCGCUCGACGGUGAGGAGUGAAAGCUGGGGGAGCAAACCGG